AUAAAUAAAUAAAUAAAAAUCUCUAGCAAGCCUCAACGGCCCAACCCAAAGCGGUCCGGGCCCCGGCCCUCCCGCUCGUCAGUCGUCACCUCGCCGGUCUCCAGUCUCCUCACCGCUGCGCUGCCUCCGGCGGGAGUCUGGGUGAUCACGUCGCGUCGCCGCAACCAAGCUCCCGAGUCCCGAUCCCAACGACGACCUGCCUUGUUCAGUGUUUCCUUUUCUCAGGACACUUCUGUUGUACCAAUUGAAGCACACCCUUCAGAUUUUCAUUGGACAGACUUAUGAGUGCGGUCGAGGAAGAUGGCCAUAGUUCACGGUGUGACCUAUGCGACACCGAUGUUGUACAUAGCAUGGCAGAAAUCUUGCUUUGUGGAUUGGCCACAGCUUCAGUGGACAGCACCACGGGCGAUAUAUUCAAGAGCGCAUCUUCUGUAGUUGUUGCUGUGAAGACCGAGCUAGAAAAUGAUCUGCUUGCGAGAACUGAAUCGCUUAUUCGUGAGUUUGUGGAUGGAGCCCAGGAUCAUUCAGAUCAAUUAAUGAAAGCGUCCACCAGGCCGACCGAGUUCCUAUCAGACUUGAUUGAUGACUUUGUGGCUUCCAAAAGGAACUUGCUGAGCCAUGUGUCUGGGUUUUUGUCUAGUGAAAGCCGCUUGAACAAAAUUAAAGAUUUUAUGCAGAAGAUGGAGAAGGAGAAUGUGUGGACACUGGACGUAAGGCAGGCUACCUCAGAGACUAUUCUUGAAAGCAUAGACAUGAAAUGCAUUUUCCACUGUCCCGAAAAAUUUGAUGAGCAAGACAAGCUGGCUGACCAUAGAAGUCAGUGCAAGUUUAGAGUAGUGGACUGCAAAAAUGAUGGAUGCUCAAUUUCACUUUCUGCUAUUCGUAUCGAGGAGCAUGACUCCAUCUGUCCAUUUAAGGCCCUGCCAUGUGUGCAGCUGUGCGAGCAACAUGUUAUGCGUUGUGAGAUGGAAAAACAUUGUGCAACAGUUUGUGCUAUGAAGCUUAUUAACUGUCCUUUCUACCAUGUUGGAUGUGAAACAGCCUUUCCACAAGGUAAUCUUGAGAAUCACUGUUCGAAGCUACUUCAAACGCAUCUGCUGUAUGUUCUCCAAGCAAGUACAAGACAAAAUGCUGCUGUUAAUGAUAUGAAUCAACGAUUACAACUCCUUGAGAAGGCUCAGUCACUUAACGAAAUCUCUGGGGCUUUAGAUGUUAGGUCCCUCACUCUGAUAAUAAAGGAGCAAGAAGCAAAGAUCAAGAAUCUCGAGAGUGGUAUAAAAGCACAAGAGGCAAAGGAAUGUCUCCAUGAUCUGAAGCCUCUUCUUCAUGUGGAUGCAAUUCCAUAGGUGUACCAGGGAAGAACUUCUGCAAGAUGAGUUAGAAUUAGGAAAUGGGUUAUGCAUCAGAAGAAUUGGAAAAACAAAGUUGGAUGCUCACACUGGUUACAUCUGCAAGGACAUGGUCAUUGAUGAAAGAAGUACAUGUGCUCUCACCUGUUUAUGGGAGAACAAGUAUAAACAUCAGCUUCCAAGGUUGCUUCAUAACUUUGUAGUGCAGCCUCUAGAGCUCUAAAUGUACGGUUUCUACUCCAGAAUGAUGCAAAGGUAUACCUGAUCCUUCCUGAAAAAUUAGACGGAUGCUCAAGCUCAACGGUAAAAUUC